rnacentral:rRNA from 1 species
AUUGAACGCUGGCGGCAGGCCUAACACAUGCAAGUCGAACGGUAGCACAGAGAGCUUGCUCUCGGGUGACGAGUGGCGGACGGGUGAGUAACGUCUGGGAAACUGCCCGAUGGAGGGGGAUAACUACUAGAAACGGUAGCUAAUACCGCAUAACGUCGCAAGACCAAAGUGGGGGACCUUCGGGCCUCACACCAUCGGAUGUGCCCAGAUGGGAUUAGCUAGUAGGUGGGGUAAUGGCUCACCUAGGCGACGAUCCCUAGCUGGUCUGAGAGGAUGACCAGCCACACUGGAACUGAGACACGGUCCAGACUCCUACGGGAGGCAGCAGUGGGGAAUAUUGCACAAUGGGCGCAAGCCUGAUGCAGCCAUGCCGCGUGUAUGAAGAAGGCCUUCGGGUUGUAAAGUACUUUCAGCGGGGAGGAAGGCGGUGAAGUUAAUAGCUUCACCGAUUGACGUUACCCGCAGAAGAAGCACCGGCUAACUCCGUGCCAGCAGCCGCCGUAAUAC